rnacentral:lncRNA from 1 species
UUGGGCCCAAGCCCAAAGCCCACCAACAUAACCCUAGUAUAAAUUAGAAGUGAACCCUAGUUCCACUUCAUACUCAUCAGCCGCUAUAUGUUGCCUUUCCCUCAUUCUCUCAAAACCCUAUCUCCAUCUUCUUAAGACAAACAAAAUUUGCAUCAUUUCUGCUUCCUCCCUCUCGACUUAUACAUCAGCCACACACAAAGCCCUAACCCCAUCUCAAAUUCUUCCUCAAAGAUGCAUCAGACUCAAACAAUCACCCUCUCAUCUCUCUCACCCGUCCAGUAAACACGAAACGGCGCUGGUUAUCGGUCGAAUCUCCGGUCGAUCGACUUCACCGGCAGGACACCCCCACACGCACCCCCUGUUAAUUAAGUCUGGCAGCAAUCGCAGCGCCGCCGUUGCGGCGGCGGUGGUGGAGGUGGCGUCUUGAUUCUGCUCCGACAAACCUACGACAAUGACUCCGAGAACAAAGGGAGAAGGAGAUCGAGAGAGAGAGAGAGAGAACUGAGAAGACGAGAAAAGUGAAUGAGUGAAACGAGAGAAAUGGUAACGGCAACUUACCGGCAACGGGCUGUCUCUCGGACGGCGGCAAAGAGCGACGACGGCCGUGGUGGUGUUCAUCAGGUGAGAUUUUAUUCGGAUUCAGGGCAGCCACGGUUCGAUUAUGGUUCAGUUCUGCUGAGGUGUUUCGGCUCGUAUGCGGAUUGAUUGGUUGUUUCGGGUCAAGUAUGGUUCGGGUUCAGAUUCACUCUUGGUUGGUUUGAGAUACAAGAAGAUGAGAGUGGUAACUCAGUUCAGUUUUGGUUUGUUUCGGGUCAACAAGCCAACAACAGCCCACGGACCCGGUUCGGGUCAACAGUAAAAGCACGGUCGGUUUGGGUCACACGGUUCACACAUCGGUUCAGUUUCACAGCACCGGUCGAUAGUAAUGGUGGUGUUUCACGUUUCGCCUCGGGUACCGGGAUGACUCAGUCAACACCCGGUCAACUCAGUUCAACAACAGUCAACGGCCGGUCAACACGAAGGACCCGGAAUGUCGUAGUUGCACGCUAGCUACUUCACGUUUUUGGAACGACACUUCGGAAACACACUAAGCUAGCUUUGCACAGGGAUAUCCAGGUUACAUUGUCAAAACUACGGAACGGUUGGAAUAGAAGAACCCACGGGAUUUCGAGUAAUUAGCGGGCGUUCAUUUUUUAGAAGUCUUAGCUUUUUGCUUCCGCUGUGCAAUGAAGAUAC